GGCUGUUGGUGCAUUCUGUGCCCACAUGUAGGAGGGGAGCUUCGUCUUUCCCAGACCUGAGCCAUCAUUCAGGAUUUGGAAGAUGUGGGCACUUGGCAGCCUGGUGGAGAGAGCCCUUGUACACCCCACCCACGGUGUUCCUUCCCCACGGCGGCCUGCAGUGGCUGGAGCAGACCUGGCAGCUGUACUAAAGUCUGCAGAGCUGCUGUGCCUCAGUGUCACACUGAUUCCAUGGAGAGAGAGAGCAAUACAGAUAUGA
rnacentral:lncRNA from 1 species